rnacentral:rRNA from 1 species
AUUGAACGCUGGCGGCAUGCCUUACACAUGCAAGUCAAACGGUAACAGGUCUUCGGAUGCUGACGAGUGGCGAACGGGUGAGUAAUACAUCGGAACGUGCCCGAUCGUGGGGGAUAACGGAGCGAAAGCUUUGCUAAUACCGCAUACGAUCUACGGAUGAAAGCAGGGGACCGCAAGGCCUUGCGCGGACGGAGCGGCCGAUGGCAGAUUAGGUAGUUGGUGGGAUAAAAGCUUACCAAGCCGACGAUCUGUAGCUGGUCUGAGAGGACGACCAGCCACACUGGGACUGGGAGACGGCCCAGACUCCUACGGGAGGCAGCAGUGGGGAAUUUUGGACAAUGGGCGCAAGCCUGAUCCAGCCAUGCCGCGUGCAGGAUGAAGGCCUUCGGGUUGUAAACUGCUUUUGUACGGAACGAAAAGACUCUUUCUAAUAAAGAGGGUUCAUGACGGUACCGUAAGAAUAAGCACCGGCUAACUACGUGCCAGCCGCCGCCGUAAGAC